ensembl:lncRNA NEPRO-AS1 NEPRO antisense RNA 1
GCCCACAUGCGCCGGCUGGGCCUGGCGGCCUCCCCCGGAAACGUUCCCCCAUCCUCGCCCGGCGCCUCACUCACCAAGGGCCGCGCCGGGGUUCUGCACUGUCACUGCGCUGCGGUUCCCCGCCUUAGGGAUUCUCACACGGUUCCACGGCUCCAGGCCCGGCGGCACCGCAGCCAUCAUGCGAGGCGGGGGGACUUACGAAAGGCGGAGCUACGCGAGAGCACGUCCAGCGACCGGAGGGCAUCUUGAGACAAUGUUCUGCCUACACAAAAUUCUAAACUGAGAGGAGUGGCUCAGAAGCUCUACUAACAUGGAAUCACAUGUGGGUUGCAGGAGGCUGGAGACUAUCCCAGCAGCACAUGGCACAAAGCAAGAACCAGCCCCGGACAGGACGCCAUUCCAUCACAGGUGCACUCACACCCACCAGCACUCACUCAGACUGGGCCCAUUUAGACACACCGAUUCAUCCAACAUGCAUAUCUCUGGGGUGUGGAAGGAAACUGGAUUACCUGGUGAAAACCCACACAGACAUGGGGAGAACAUGCCAGCUCUACACAAACAGUGGCCUGGUGGGGAAUCAAUUUUUUUUUUCUUAUCAGUGUUAUAAAUGAAACAGUGUUGAAGUAAAGGACCUGCUCUACAUUCCAGAAGAGUGAAAAAGCAAACGUAAAAAAGUAUACUUACAGGGGAAGAGAAGCAUAAAAGUCAAGGAAGAAAAGACAAAUGGAUCUAACUGCAUACAGAUUCAAACUUUUGUAUUUCAAAAGUCCUGUAGACAUAAAUUCAUCCUCUAAGGUACCAUAGGAGGUUUCUGAAUAGUAAGAGCUAACAUGUAUUGAAUGCUCACCAGGCACUCUGCUAUGUACUUAAUUUGCUUAUUUUAUUUAAUUCUCACAAGAAUAUUAUGAUUCUACCACAGUUUACUUUUCUCUCCUAUCAUUAGAUGAUAAUUAUUUAUUCUAAUAGAGGGACACUAUAACUAUGAACCUCUAGCUCAGAGGUGCCCGGGAUUUUGCAGCAGUUAGUCGUGGAGCUGAGCUGAAAUGGGUGGUCUCUGUCAAGCCCUCGUCGAUUUACCCAGGAUACUUACUCCUCAUUCUCCCUUUGCAGUGCUUCCUCAGCCAUAAGACUGGCCUGCUUGGCAGUCAUCUGCCCAUCCAUUACUGUGGAAUAGCGUAUCUCACUCCUAUCUCACUCAUCCCGAGGCCAAAGGCUACAGUUUCAUGAACACUGGUUCCCUCUGACUUUUCCUCUAUUGUCUAAGCCAACCCAGGAAAAGGCACCAUAGAAACAGAAAAUAUUAUUAAAGCUCAUAUCACAAAUCCAGGGAUCAUUUCCACUGAGCUGAGACAGAAAACUGAUAUGUUUAUCAGAAAAGAUAACACUUGUCUACAAAGAGUGCUUUCCAGGCCAUAGGAUAAACAGAGGGAGCCGCCAGCUUGACCUCUAGGCAGGGCGUCUGCACGAGGCUGGAGAGUCCGUGCUCUGUCCACCUCCAACAAAAACAGGCUGCUGACUUCAUCCAGCUUCCAGUCCUUUCCCAGACAGGUCCCAGCUCUCGGCCACAGGCUUCCUCCUCUACACAUUUUUAUUAUAAGAAGAUAUUCAAGAAUAAUUAACAAAGUAGAAAUAAAUGAUUUCUCAGAAAAG